CUUUGUUUAUUUAUUCAUUCAUUCUUUCUUUCUCCAGAUCCUUGCCGAGCAUCUGCUCUGUACAGGCCGUGUACUAAGUGCUAGAGAGAUGGUGUGGGGUAGAUAAUGGCUUCCAGAGAUGUUCACGUCCUGAUCCACAGAUCCUGAUAUGUGAGUGGAAAAAAGCCACAAAUUGAAAAUGUUUUUUAUCUGCUCUCACAUCACAACAAUCAACACAGAAGACUUCUGUGCCCACAUAUGUGAGGAUUUCUCUCACCAGCAAACAAGCAAUCAGUUCUGCAGUGGACACCAGCUGGGUGUCCUCCGAUUCAGUUCUGACACUCUCUACCUAAAGACCGCGUCCGAUCCCAGAGGUUGAGGGCUCUGGGUGUCC
rnacentral:lncRNA from 10 species